UACGAAGGGGGCUAGCGUUGUUCGGAAUUACUGGGCGUAAAGCGCGCGCAGGCGGCUAUCCAAGUCAGUGGUGAAAGCCCGGAGCUCAACUCCGGAACUGCCAUUGAAACUGUUUAGCUGGAGUAUGAGAGAGGUGAGUGGAAUUCCCAGUGUAGAGGUGAAAUUCGUAGAUAUUGGGAAGAGCACCGGUGGCGAAGGCGGCUCACUGGCUCAUUACUGACGCUCAUGCGCGACAGCGUGGGGAUCAAACAGG
rnacentral:rRNA from 1 species